rnacentral:lncRNA from 1 species
CUCGGGUACAUUUUAUCUGGUUAACACCAUGGUGGACAUGCCUGCUGUAAGGUGUCCCCUUAGGAAGUAGGCAUUUGCGACCACAGCGGAGGACACGGACCCUGUAAAUGGCAUAACCUUACUUUGCCUUGUAUCCCAGCCUUUGCGCUUCAUCACACCGGGGAUCUGGAGAGCCCUAUGCAGCUCAGAGAGCUGGCGGUAAUGCCCGCAGUGGACCUUCAGAAGAAAGCCUAUCACACAGGGUUGCUUCUUCUUCCAUAGCUCCUGGAUAUAUUUGAAAGAAAACGAGUGGUACACUGAAUGCUCUCUUCCGAGAGAUACAUCCUGGAGGAAGGAAAUAAUGAUGUCACUGGCCAAGGGCCUCAACACAGCCAGAACACCUCUCCACUGUCCCUUUCCCCCAGACCAACUCCUGUCCAUCUCUCCUCAGAAAAGAGCAGGCCUCCAAGAGACAACAAUGAAACACAGGACAACAAGAUACAAUAAAGCAAGGCAAGAGCUGUCACACCAAAGCUGGACAAGGCAACCAAACUAACAGGAGGAGACGAGUCCCAAGAGUAGGCAAAAGAGUCAAAGACAUGCGUGUUCCCACUAUUAGAAGUUUCACAAGACACCAAGCUAACAGCCAUGACAUCUACACAAAGGGUCUGGUGCUGACCCACAUGGGCCCCAUGCAUGCUGCUUCAGUCUCUGUGAGCCCAUGGGAGCCCUUGGUUGAUUCAAUGGGAUGUGUUCACCUGGUGUCCUGUAUCUCCUCUGACCCCUAGAAUUCUUCAGCUAACUUCUCUGCAGGGUUCCCUAAUCUCUGAGGGGAAGGGCCCUCGGAGGCCUCCAAUUUAAACGCUCUCCAUAAGCUGACAUUUACUUUCCAAUCAUGUUAGUCUUCAGUUUUCUCUUGUUCUUCCACCAACAGUGUGUUAUCACCACCGUGCAACCGUG